GAAGGUCCGGGCGUUAUCCGGAUUUAUUGGGUUUAAAGGGAGCGCAGGCCGCCUUUUAAGCGUGUUGUGAAAUGUCCCGGCUCAACCGGGUCACUGCAGCGCGAACUGGAAGGCUUGAGUACGCUGUAGGUAGGCGGAAUUCGUGGUGUAGCGGUGAAAUGCUUAGAUAUCACGAAGAACUCCGAUUGCGAAGGCAGCUGACUGUAUCGUAACUGACGCUGAAGCUCGAAAGUGUGGGUAUCGAA
rnacentral:rRNA from 1 species